GCAGCUGGACCGAUGUGAGAUGAUUCUUCAGGCCUCCGAGUAUGAGAACCUGGAGAGCAAACCUGGGAGGCUGCAGGACUUCUAUGAUUCCACGGCAGGAAAAUUCAGUCACCCUGAGAUAGUCCAGCUUGUUUCUGAACUUGAGGCAGAAAGAAACGCCAACAUAGCAGCUCCCACCAGUGAGCUGAGCUCCUGACGUGUCCUCUGUUGCUGCACUCCUGUGACAGACAUUGUGUUUUGCCCUUUCGUGGUGGUGUGUUUUGCCACUGUUGCUGUGUUGAUUCCCCGGAUGUGAGUCUGUUUAUUUUCCAUUGCCUGGACUCCAGUAAGAAACGUGUGAUACAAUCUGGAUAAUAAAAGAAGCUAAGGAACAGGAUGUGGUCCUGAAAAUGCCCUGGAUGAAGGCUGGGGGCAGCGGGGGGGAGCUCUGUAUGAACUAAAUAAAUAAAUUUUUAAAACCUUAA